CGAGCUUAGAGAGCUUGCUUUUUAAGCUUAGUGGCGAACGGGUGAGUAACGCGUGAGUACCUGCCCUAGAGUGGGGGACAACAGUUGGAAACGACUGCUAAUACCGCAUAAGGCCGCAUGACAAAAGAUUUAUCGCUUUAGGAUGGACUCGCGUCCAAUUAGCUAGUUGGUGAGGUAACGGCCCACCAAGGCACGAUUGGUAGCCGGACUGAGAGGUUGAACGGCCACAUUGGGACUGAGACACGGCCCAGACUCCUACGGGAGGCAGCAGUGGGGGAUAUUGCACAAUGGGGGAAACCCUGAUGCAGCGACGCCGCGUGGAGGAAGAAGGUUUUCGGAUUGUAAACUCCUGUCGUUAGGGACGAUAAGACGGUACCUAACAAGAAAGCACCGGCUAACUACGUGCCAGCAGCCGCGGUAAAACGUAGGGUGCAAGCGUUGUCCGGAAUUACUGGGUGUAAAGGGAGCGCAGGCGGGAAGCAAGUUGGAAGUGAAAACCAUGGGCUCAACCCAUGAAUUGCUUUCAAAACUGUUUUUCUUGAGUAGUGCAGAGGUAGGUGGAAUUCCCGGUGUAGCGGUGGAAUGCGUAGAUAUCGGGAGGAACACCAGUGGCGAAGGCGGUCUACUGGGCACCAACUGACGCUGAGGCUCGAAAGCAUGGGUAGCA
rnacentral:rRNA from 1 species